UUAGAGUUUGAUCCUGGCUCAGGACGAACGCUGGCGGCGCGCCUAACACAUGCAAGUCGAACGGAGCUGAGAAGAGCUUGCUUUUCUUAGCUUAGUGGCGAACGGGUGAGUAACGCGUGAGUAACCUGCCCUGGAGUGGGGGACAACAGUUGGAAACGACUGCUAAUACCGCAUAAGCCCACGGAUCCGCAUGGAUCUGCGGGAAAAGGAUUUAUUCGCUUCAGGAUGGACUCGCGUCCAAUUAGCUAGUUGGUGAGGUAACGGCCCACCAAGGCGACGAUUGGUAGCCGGACUGAGAGGUUGAACGGCCACAUUGGGACUGAGACACGGCCCAGACUCCUACGGGAGGCAGCAGUGGGGGAUAUUGCACAAUGGGGGAAACCCUGAUGCAGCGACGCCGCGUGGAGGAAGAAGGUUUUCGGAUUGUAAACUCCUGUCGUUAGGGACGAUAAUGACGGUACCUAACAAGAAAGCACCGGCUAACUACGUGCCAGCAGCCGCGGUAAAACGUAGGGCGCAAGCGUUGUCCGGAAUUACUGGGUGUAAAGGGAGCGCAGGCGGACCGGCAAGUUGGAAGUGAAAACUAUGGGCUCAACCCAUAAAUUGCUUUCAAAACUGCUGGCCUUGAGUAGUGCAGAGGUAGGUGGAAUUCCCGGUGUAGCGGUGGAAUGCGUAGAUAUCGGGAGGAACACCAGUGGCGAAGGCGACCUACUGGGCACCAACUGACGCUGAGGCUCGAAAGCAUGGGUAGCAAACAGGAUUAGAUACCCUGGUAGUCCAUGCCGUAAACGAUGAUUACUAGGUGUUGGAGGAUUGACCCCUUCAGUGCCGCAGUUAACACAAUAAGUAAUCCACCUGGGGAGUACGACCGCAAGGUUGAAACUCAAAGGAAUUGA
rnacentral:rRNA from 1 species